GUCCUCCUCUCUGACCUCGACGAUCCAGAUUGGGGUGAUGCACAUGUCGAGGAGGUCAUGAAGGGAAAAGAUUCGAUCAAUAUCGGAUCGUCAGGAUGUAUUUGAAAAAUUUUUUAUUCUAAAACUUUAUAACCUUUAUAAAUUACAUUGUAUGCAGUAAAAUAAGGAUCAAAAUCCUCAAGGAUUUACUUGAAUCUAAUACCUCGUGA
rnacentral:lncRNA from 1 species